UGCCAGCCGCCGCGGUAAUACGAAUGGAGCGAGCGUUGUUCGGAAUCAUUGGGCGUAAAGCGUAUGUAGGUGGAACAGAAAGUUGGAAGUGAAAUCCCGAGGCUCAACCUCGGAAUUGCUUUCAAAACUCCUGUUCUAGAGUCCCGGAGGGGUAAGGGGAAUUCCGAGUGUAGAGGUGAAAUUCGCAGAUAUUCGGAGGAACACCAGUGGCGUAGGCGCCUUACUGGACGGGAACUGACACUGAGAUACGAAAGCGUGGGUAGCAAACAGGAUUAGAUA
rnacentral:rRNA from 1 species